GAUCAGGUAGGGAUACCCGCUGAACUUAAGCAUAUCAAUAAGCGGAGGAAAAGAAACCAACCGGGAUUGCCCUAGUAACGGCGAGUGAAGCGGCAAGAGCUCAAAUUUGAAAGCUGGCCCCCUCGGGGUCCGCGUUGUAAUUUGCAGAGGAUGCUUCGGGAGCGGUCCCCAUCUAAGUGCCCUGGAACGGGCCGUCAUAGAGGGUGAGAAUCCCGUCUGGGAUGGGGUGCCCGCGCCCGUGUGAAGCUCCUUCGACGAGUCGAGUUGUUUGGGAAUGCAGCUCUAAUUGGGUGGUAAAUUUCAUCUAAAGCUAAAUAUUGGCCGGAGACCGAUAGCGCACAAGUAGAGUGAUCGAAAGAUGAAAAGCACUUUGAAAAGAGAGUUAAACAGCACGUGAAAUUGUUGAAAGGGAAGCGCUUGCGAUCAGACUCGCUCGCGGGGUUCAGCCGGCAUUCGUGCCGGUGUACUUCCCCGCGGGCGGGCCAGCGUCGGUUUGGGCGGCCGGUCAAAGGCCCCUGGAAUGUAACGCCUCUCGGGGCGUCUUAUAGCCAGGGGUGCCAUGCGGCCUGCCCGGACCGAGGAACGCGCUUCGGCUCGGACGCUGGCAUAAUGGUCGUAAGCGACC
rnacentral:rRNA from 1 species